AGCUGAGGUUGCUGGGAAGGCUUCUCCAUCAGCUUGGAUGAAUAAAGUUUUGAAGCCCUUGGAGCCUCCUGCAGUUGUGUCUGCAGGGAGGACUUCUCCAGCUUCUCCAGCUCCUACCUUGGAUGCUAUACGCAAGCCCAGCUCCCAUCACAGUGGUACUCCAACAGGGAAAGUCCAAGAUAGAACAGAUAAGAUGUCCAUGCAACCAUCCAAACAGAUGAGGCAAGAGCUGAAGGAACCCCUGCAGACAAGACAAGAGAUGGGCAUAAUGCUUCAGUGGAAGGUGGCAUUUCCUGAAGGAAGCACUCCAUAUUCGGUGCCAGCCCCUGCUGCAGGAAGGAAGGCAAAGCCAGACACGGACACAGGCACAGCAG